CCUACGGGUGGCUGCAGUGGGGAAUAUUGGACAAUGGGCGAAAGCCUGAUCCAGCCAUGCCGCGUGUGUGAAGAAGGCCUUCGGGUUGUAAAGCACUUUCAGUGGGGAAGAAAGCCUUGGGGCUAAUACCCUCGAGGAAGGACAUCACCCACAGAAGAAGCACCGGCUAACUCCGUGCCAGCAGCCGCGGUAAUACGGAGGGUGCGAGCGUUAAUCGGAAUUACUGGGCGUAAAGCGCGCGUAGGCGGUCUGAUAAGCCGGUUGUGAAAGCCCCGGGCUCAACCUGGGAACGGCAUCCGGAACUGUCAGGCUAGAGUGCAGGAGAGGAAGGUAGAAUUCCCGGUGUAGCGGUGUAAUGCGUAGAGAUCGGGAGGAAUACCAGUGGCGAAGGCGGCCUUCUGGACUGACACUGACGCUGAGGUGCGAAAGCGUGGGUAGCAAACAGGAUUAGAUACCCUUGUAGUC
rnacentral:rRNA from 1 species